rnacentral:rRNA from 1 species
UUGACCUACGAGAGGCAGCAGUGGGGAAUAUUGGGCAAUGGGCGCAAGCCUGACCCAGCAACGCCGCGUGAAGGAAGAAGGCUUUCGGGUUGUAAACUUCUUUUCUCAGGGACGAAGAAAGUGACGGUACCUGAGGAAUAAGCCACGGCUAACUACGUGCCAGCAGCCGCGGUAAUACGUAGGUGGCAAGCGUUAUCCGGAUUUACUGGGUGUAAAGGGCGUGUAGGCGGGAAAGCAAGUCAGAUGUGAAAACCAUGGGCUCAACCUGUGGCCUGCAUUUGAAACUGUUGUUCUCGAGUACUGUG